GUAAGUAUCAUCAAUAUUAAUA
rnacentral:miRNA from 1 species